rnacentral:misc_RNA from 1 species
GAUGAAGAACGUAGCAAAAUGCGAUAAGUAAUGUGAAUUGCAGAAUUCAGUGAAUCAUCGAAUCUUUGAACGCACAUUGCGCCCGCCAGUAUUCUGGCGGGCAUGCCUGUUCGAGCGUCAUUUCAACCCUCAAGCUCAGCUUGGUGUUGGGACUCGCGGUAACCCGCGUUCCCCAAAUCGAUUGGCGGUCACGUCGAGCUUCCAUAGCGUAGUAAUCAUACACCUCGUUACUGGUAAUCGUCGCGGCCACGCCGUAAAACCCCAACUUCUGAAUGUUGACCUCGGAUCAGGUAGGAAUACCCGCUGAACUUAAGCAUAUCAAAAGCGGAGGA